rnacentral:rRNA from 1 species
AACGAACGCUGGCGGCAUGCCUAACACAUGUCAGUCGAACGAGACCUUCGGGUCUAGUGGCGCACGGGUGCGUAACGCGUGGGAACCUGCCCUUAGGUUCGGAAUAACUCCCCGAAAGGGGUGCUAAUACCGGAUAAUGUCUUCGGACCAAAGAUUUAUCGCCUUUGGAUGGGCCCGCGUUGGAUUAGCUAGUUGGUAGGGUAAAAGCCUACCAAGGCGACGAUCCAUAGCUGGUCUGAGAGGAUGAUCAGCCACACUGGGACUGAGACACGGCCCAGACUCCUACGGGAGGCAGCAGUGGGGAAUAUUGGACAAUGGGCGAAAGCCUGAUCCAGCAAUGCCGCGUGAGUGAUGAAGGCCUUAGGGUUGUAAAGCUCUUUUACCCGGGAUGAUAAUGACAGUACCGGGAGAAUAAGCUCCGGCUAACUCCGU